rnacentral:rRNA from 1 species
GUAGGUGGCAAGCGUUGUCCGGAAUUAUUGGGCGUAAAGCGCGCGCAGGUGGUUCUUUAAGUCUGAUGUGAAAGCCCCCGGGCUCAACCGGGGAGGGUCAUUGGAAACUGGGGAACUUGAGUGCAGGAGAGGAAAGUGGAAUUCCACGUGUAGCGGUGAAAUGCGUAGAUAUGUGGAGGAACACCAGUGGCGAAGGCGUCUUUCUGGCCUGUAACUGACACUGAGGCGCGAAAGCGUGGGGAGCAAACAGGAUUAGAUACCCUGGUAGUCCACGCCGUAAACGAUGAGUGCUAAGUGUUGGGGGGUUUCCGCCCCUCAGUGCUGCAGCUAACGCAUUAAGCACUCCGCCUGGGGAGUACGGUCGCAAAGACUG